rnacentral:rRNA from 1 species
AGCUUUACAUUGUGAGUAAAUAAAAAUUAUGAAAGCAAAAAAUUAUGGCGGUAUUUUAAGCUUUUCAGAGGAAUUUGCUCUUUAAUGGAUAAAACACCUAAAUCUUACUUAAAUUUGUUAUUUCAAUUUGUAUACCACUAUAAAAACAAUUUAUAACUCUAAUUGUUAAAAUUUACUAUAUUAAAAUAUAUUAAGUCAAGGUGCAGUAAAAAUUUAAGGAUGAAGUGAAUUACAUUACUUUUUAGGGAAAAAAAUUAAAAUAAUAUUUAGGAUUUGAAAGUAAAAUUAAAAUAAAAUGUUAAUUUGAAUUAAGCUCUAAAAUAUGUACAUAUCGCCCGUCACU